UACGGGGGGGGCAAGCGUUGUUCGGAAUUACUGGGCGUAAAGCGUGCGCAGGCGGCUUUGCAAGACAGAUGUGAAAUCCCCGGGCUUAACCUGGGAACUGCAUUUGUGACUGCAUGGCUGGAGUGCGGCAGAGGGGGAUGGAAUUCCGCGUGUAGCAGUGAAAUGCGUAGAUAUGCGGAGGAACACCGAUGGCGAAGGCAGCCCCCUGGGUCAAGACUGACGCUCAUGCACGAAAGCGUGGGGAGCAAACAGG
rnacentral:rRNA from 1 species